UAUCUUUGUCCCAGUUUUGGUUUCACCUCUCCCGGUUCUGUUGGAGAUGAGUGAUGAAAAAGGGAAUCAGGUGCAAAUCCUGAACAGACCCGCUGCUGUAAGUCCUUCCAAAAUCUUUGAAUAUUCUACAAGCCACUGUCCGCCCGGCGGAUGGGAAGGCAUUCAAAGAGGGAUAAGUCAGAAGACCUGCCAAGACAACAUAGUUUUA
rnacentral:ncRNA from 2 species